rnacentral:rRNA from 1 species
UGAGCUCAGGCAAGAUUACCCGCUGAACUUAAGCAUAUCAAUAAGCGGAGGAAAAGAAACUAACAAGGAUUCCCCUAGUAACGGCGAGCGAACCGGGAACAGCCCAACUUGAAAAUCUCCCUUUGGAGAAUUGUAGUCUAUAGAAGUACCCUCUGCAGCGGGCGGAAUCCAAGUCUCCUGGAAAGGGGCGUCAGANAGGGUGAGAACCCCGUCNAUUCCUGCCUUANCUGCUCCACGAGGUGCUUUCANANAGUCGGGUUGCUUGGGAAUGCANCCCUAAUUUGGNGGUAAACCCAUCUAAGGCUAAAUAUUGG